CAAAGCUGUAUGCAACACUUCCGGGACAUUUUUGGCUUCCUUUUUUGCCGGUUUGUGUACGUGGAACCAAGUCACAGCGCCCUAUAUUCCAUAAUCGACGCUUUUCUUUCAAAUUUAACGAUGGAUUUAGGCAAGGUACGAACCCAUCUCGAAGAAAACGACCAAGGACAUUUGUUAGACCACUACGAUCGUCUAUCCGACGAGGAAAAGAAAGCGUUACUGGAUGAGCUGUCGGCGCUUGACUUGGCCCAUGUAAAGCGCGUUUUUGAGCUUAGCGGUACAGAAUCUACAGAUUCAAGCAGUUCUGGGGAAAAGGAUAAAA
rnacentral:lncRNA from 1 species